AGGGCACUACCAGGAGUGGAUCCUGCGGCUCAAUUUGACUCAACACGGGAAAGCUCACCUGGUCCGGACACUGGAAGGAUUGACAGAUUAAGAGCUCUUUCUUGAUUCAGUGGGUGGUGGUGCAUGGCCGUUCUUAGUUGGUGGAGCGAUUUGUCUGGUUAAUUCCGAUAACGAACGAGACUCUAGCCUACUAAAUAGGUGUUCCGAUCCCAUCAGUCGGACGCUCUUCUUAGAGGGACAAGCGGCGUUUAGCCGCACGAGACAGAGCAAUAACAGGUCUGUGAUGCCCUUAGAUGUCCGGGGCCGCACGCGCGCUACACUGAAGGAACCAGCGUGUGUCCCUGUCCGGCAGGACUGGGUAAUCCGUUGAACCUCCUUCGUGAUAGGGAUAGGGGCUUGUAAUUGUUCCCAUUGAACGAGGAAUUCCCAGUAAGCGUGAAUCAUCAGUUCACGUUGAUUACGUCCCUGGCCUUUGUACACACCGCCCGUCGCUACUACUGAUUGGAUGAUUUAGUGAGG
rnacentral:rRNA from 1 species